rnacentral:rRNA from 1 species
AACGAACGCUGGCGGCGUGUCUUAAGCAUGCAAGUCGUGCGGCAAGGGGUAGCAAUACCCCCUAGAGCGGCGGACUGGUGAGUAACGCGUGGGUGAUCUGCCCUUGGGUUGGGGAUAGCCAUUAGAAAUAGUGGGUAAUACCGAAUACGUUCGGCGUACUACGGUACGUCGAGGAAAAGCGCUUCGGCGCUGCCCGAGGAUGAGCCCGCGUCCCAUUAGCUAGUUGGCGAGGUAACGGCCCACCAAGGCGAUGAUGGGUAGGCGGCCUGAGAGGGUGUACGCCCACACUGGGACUGAGAUACGGCCCAGACUCCUACGGGUGGCAG